ACUCAAAUGAAUUGACGGGGACCUGCACAAGCGGUGGAGCGUGGGGUUUAAUUCGUCACUAAGCGAAGAACCUUACCAAGGCUUUACAUCCCGCGAAAGUCCUGGAAACAGGACCGUGCCCGCAAGGGAACGCGGUGAAAGGUGUUGCACGGCUGUCGUCAGCUCGUGCUGUGAAGUGUCCCGUUCAGUCGGUUAACGAGCGCAACCCCUACUCUGUGUUGUAAUUCUCACAGAGAACUGCCCUGGUUAACAGGGAGGAAGGUGGGGACGACGUCAAGUCAGCGUGGCCCUUAUGUCUUGGGCUACACCCGCGCUACAAUGGGAAAUAACAAUGGGUUGCCAAGCCGCGAGGCGGAGCUAAUCCUAUCAAACUUUCCCCCAGUUCGGAUUGGAGGCUGCAACUCGCCUCCAUGAAGUCGGAAUCGCUAGUAACGGCCAGUCAGCCACAUGGCCGUGAAUACGUUCUCAGGUCUUGUACACACCGCCCGU
rnacentral:rRNA from 1 species